AUUUCCCUAGGGCGUUCGUGAUCUUUGUCUCGGUGCUAACCUGACAAGCUUUAAGAAAAGGAGACUGUCACUGUCUUUUGUGUGCAUGCCUGUUUUCAGGAAGCCUGAGAGAGACAUAUGGUUUCCGACCUGGUUAUCCAGGUUCUGAACCGCAGACAGACACGGCGUUCCUGGGGAUCUU
rnacentral:other from 1 species